rnacentral:lncRNA from 1 species
AAGGAAGGUGUUUCCUGACCUACCUCCGGGGGCAAGGUCCAUGGUCUCCUUGACUAAGCCCUUCCUCUUUCUGAGCCAGCUUCCUUUCCGCGGGAAGGAAAGGCUGGCCAGGCCACCCGGAGGAGCCUGCGGACGGGACAUCUGGGUCGUGGGUGCUGGAGUCUCGGGCUCUCUUCCUGCCCGGUACACAGUUAACUGUCCCGCGGGAAAUUAAUGCCGGCCAGGAGCCGGGCGGCAGAGGGAAUAAGGCGGGUGUAGGCUCGGCGCCAACGUGGAGGACGCGACUAAGCGAAUUCAGAGACAGAGGGAAGUUCAGCCGCCAGCCCCCAGGGAGCACAAAAAAGUAAAUUCGUCGCUGCUAGUUUUAGCCAAGAUACCCGCAGAGCAUGCCAGACUUGAGGAAAAAUCUUCCUUGAAGUGGAACAAGCAGUAUUGAUCAGGACAUACCAAGCACUAACAAAAAAGAUCUGCAGUGAAGUUUAAAUUGCUAGGAGAGAUUUAGAAGGAAAGUACUAAUCAAUGAAACAAAAGCACCAGAACAAAAAUGAAUGAAUAUAGUUUAACAAUAUAUCAGUAGGUACUUAAAAUAGACAUACACAAAUUAUUUUAAAGUGUAUUAAGGUAAACAUUAUUUUAUAGUAAUUUGAGCCUUGUUAACUUGACAUGUUUGCAUUAGAAAGAAUUGGGAAUCAUGCGCCAGAAUGAUUUUUUUUUCUUUUUCACAAAAUUUUCAUCAAUUUAGAAAGAAGUAAACUCUUAAAAAUAGUAAACAUUGCCAACUGGUGUUGAAAUUAGAUCUCGUACUUUCUGAAUGUUCCAGGGGUACAUGCAAUAAAUUUCAUUUAUCUGCAGGUAAUAGCUAACACUGGUUAAUGUUUGUUCAGCAUUCAAAAUGCAGUUUUUGCUCUCUGGUUAGCACAAGAGAUUAUUCUUUCAAGGAAAUCUGAGACGUUUAGGGCUAUCCAUAUUCUUCAAUAGAGCCAUCUCUUCACUAGCAUUUCUAUUUUUUCACCUUAGGCAUUCUUUUAGCAAUGUGCUUAUAAAGGUUUUCUUUCGCUUAGCUGAUUUUAGUUAAAAUGGAAACAAAAAUUAGUUUCUUAGCUGAACCUAAUCAUGUGACUUUAGUCCAGCCAUAUUCUUCCCAGAGUCUUCUUGCCCCUCUGACCCAUUGCAACUUUGAUAUCUUAACCCUUGAGCAAAACCUAUGUAAACCAUUAAUGGAUGCCCAAGGGCUAAAGCUAUCUCUGCAGGGACCAGUAAAACUAUUAUGUAUUAUUUUUACUGUAGUCUUCUUACUGUGUGGGUGUUUAAAUCUGUCUCAGUAUCUCUUCCUCAACUGCUGUCCGGUGGAAGGUACUGUCUUACUAGCAUUGUAUUGUGCUUUGUUUUAAGAAAGCACACACAAUUUCAAAUACAUUUUACUAAAAUUUACUGAUCAAUUAUGAAGUUAUUCCUGUUUGGGGUUAAACUAUCUUCACAUAAUCCCAAUGAAGAUAUAGUGUAGGUAGUUGUAUAUUUAAUAUCCUCUACAAAGAACACAUAAGGAACAAUACAUGAGAAAAUGAGAAACACCUUAAAAGUAAAUAUUAAUCAUUGUAAAUUAAAAUAAUAAGGGAAGGCGAUUUCAGAUAUACUUGAUUCAAUACAUAGCUACAGGAAGUUACCACUGUAUUAUUAAACUUCGGAGGAAAAAGAGACAUGAUUAUUUUAAAUUCCAUUCCAGAGGAUUUAUAUAGAGACGUAAAUGAACCAAAAGGAUAGUGUGCAAAAUGCAAUGUCAAAAUGGUAUUGUGGCACAACUUGAGUUGCCUCCUGCGAUAAAAAUGAUUCUUUGUAUCAUUUUUUCUCACAUACAAUUAAAAAGGUGAAUUAUAGUCAAUAGUCAUUCCCACCUGUUAUGAAAAAUGUCUGGUAAUUGGCCAUUUGGGUUUUGGUCCUUUUUUUCCCUAUGAAAUUGAGAAUUUUUAUAAGCUUAACAAUGUUGUCCAAUAGAACUUUCUGCAUGCAGUGAUGGAAAUAGUCUACCUGUCAUGGCCAUUGAGCAUUUGAGAUGUAAUUAACUUAGCUAAGAAACUGAAUUUUUUCUUUGACUAAUUUUAAGUAAUUUUAAUGAAAACUUAGUUAUCUGGAUGUGACUAGUGGUUACCAGUUUGCACAGAUAGCUGACUAGCUAUUUUCCUUUUUCUGCUGGCUGGCUGAUACUGUUGUGCAAGACACAACUGCUGACCUUGAACUUUGGAAAAAAAAGAGUUCUGAAGGUAUUUGUUAAGAACCGUAAUCUUGGGAGUUCCUGUUGUGGCCCAGUGGAAACUAGUCUGACUAGUUUCCAUGAGGAUGUAGGUUCAAUCCCUGGCCUUGCUCAGUGGGUCAAGGAUCCCAUGUUGCCAUGAGCUGCGGUGUAUCGCAGAUGAGGCUCAGAUCUGUUGUUACUGUGGCUGUGGUAUAGGCCGGCUAUAGCUCUGACUUGACCCCUAGCCUGGUAACUUCCUUAUGCCACAGGUACAGCC